UCAGUGCAAUUCGGAUACUAUUAAAGUUACGUUAGCCAUGUGUUCUUUCUCACUUUCGUCUAUUUGAACUUAAACCAGCUUUAACUGGAGAAGGUAUGAGAUAUAUCCAUUUCCUUGUAGAAGAUAGGACAACUCAAUUUAAUGUCACGUAUUUCUGCAAUAAUUUUGUCCAUUUUCCUUGUAGGAGAUAAGAAACCCUAUAAAUGCAUAUACAAUGCAUCUUAUAAUAUUGCAGUCCGAUCUGAAACUACUUAGAUAAUAUUCUAGGUAAGAAUGAUUUAUAGUUCUUCUCCUUUUUUUUUAUUUUAAUAUUUUGUGUUUCUCCCCCUUUAAAAAAAAGUAAUACGAUGUGUCUUCAAGCUUAUCUAACCAAAAUUUCCGAUGUCUUGAAUGUUCAAAUUUCUUUUGUCAUUUAACACAUAUGUCCCUUUAGGACAACAUCCAGUUGUAACUUCCCCCUAAAGAUAAGCUCUAGUCAUAAUAAAUAAAAUAUCUUCUUCUGAAAUGCUAUAAAGCUAUAUUUUCCAACUGAUGCAUUUACUCGACUCUUGUGUUCUUUUUGAGAAAAAUAAAAGUAUGUGAUUGUAUUUUUCGUCUUUUUUUAUGUUUAUUUAGAGCAAAUAUGCAGCUUUGGGUUUUCACAGUCUGCGUUGUUGGUAAGUUUACACUGAUAAAUAAAGGCAACAGUAGUAUACCGCUACUUGAUUUACACGAUUAGCAAGUUUCAACUAAUCAAAUAUGGUAUAUACUGCUUAGUCUUUUAUAAUUAUUUCAUUUCAUUUCAGGUGACUUAUAGGUCCAUUGUUCCGGGUGUAUUAAGAUUUAUCAUAUAUUAUAUGUUUAUAGUCUGUAUAUAUUCACACAUGUCACUAUAAUAAAUAAUCUACUUACUUACUCAAUGUGUUUCUGUUUCCCUAAGUUUAAGGUAACCAGGAUUUGUUUUUUUUUCUCGAUCGAUUUAUGACUUUCGAACAGCGGUAUACUACUGUUGCAUUUAUUUACUGCUGGGACAUUUACUCUGGACAAGCAUUUUGUACUUUUUUUCUGCAAAACAGUUUGAAUUAACCAGGCACGGUCUUGUGUUGUAUACUGAAUAAUCUUAUUCUCUUCACAUGAUACACACACAAACUAAACAAUGUUAUAUUUUUUACGUGUGCCUUAUAAAUAAUUUUAAAAAUCGCUGAUAAAAUUAAUGUUAAUCCAUUUUAUAAAUUUGAUUUACAAUGUAUGACUGUUUGGUUUGAUCACCCAAUAGUGUCAAUUAAAAAAAUUAUGGUACAUUUCAGCGUUAGCUAGCUAUAAACUAGGUUUAACCCAUCAAGUGGUUUGCAAAAUUUUUGAACAAAGUCAGGAAUAUGCCAAUCGAUGCGUUGGUUGACAAACUUUUGAUUUUGCCAGUUUUUGUGGACUUCCCCCUGUUGGAAUUUACCAUAGAGCUUGGUAUUUUUCAAAACUUUUUUAAACGUAUUUUGCAGUUCUUUUAACAAUUGAAACUGAUGCCAAAGUACCGGUUGUCUGCACCAAGAAAACGUUCAACGAAUGGCAAGUA
rnacentral:lncRNA from 1 species